rnacentral:lncRNA from 1 species
UAGGGGAUGACGUGGUCAUGAUAAAACGCCCAUUCAAAAUGGCGUUUUAUCGAUUUUGCAUCAUUCUGAUAAAUAAAUUAAAAAUAAAAUUAUUUAUAUAAAUAAAUUUUUUUAAAUAUUAAUUAGGAAAAGAACUCUGUCUUCUAUCCGACAAUGAUUAUGAAAUAUAAAUAUAUUCCACAUAAACUGGUUACCGGUUUGAUUUAAAAGAGAGAGGGAUGGA